rnacentral:rRNA from 1 species
AGUGAACGCUGGCGGUAGGCCUAACACAUGCAAGUCGAACGGCAGCACAGUAAGAGCUUGCUCUUACGGGUGGCGAGUGGCGGACGGGUGAGGAAUACAUCGGAAUCUACUUUUUCGUGGGGGAUAACGUAGGGAAACUUACGCUAAUACCGCAUACGACCUACGGGUGAAAGCAGAGGAUCUUCGGACCUUGCGCGAUUGAAUGAGCCGAUGUCGGAUUAGCUAGUUGGCGGGGUAAAGGCCCACCAAGGCGACGAUCCGUAGCUGGUCUGAGAGGAUGAUCAGCCACACUGGAACUGAGACACGGUCCAGACUCCUACGGGAGGCAGCAGUGGGGAAUAUUGGACAAUGGGCGCAAGCCUGAUCCAGCCAUACCGCGUGGGUGAAGAAGGCCUUCGGGUUGUAAAGCCCUGUUGUUGGGAAAGAAAAGCAGCAGGUUGAUACCCCGCUGUUCUGACGGUACCCAAAGAAUAAGCACCGGCUAACUUCGUG